rnacentral:rRNA from 1 species
UGGCGAGUGGCGAACGGGUGAGUAAUGCAUCGGAACGUGCCUUUUAGUGGGGGAUAACGUAGCGAAAGUUACGCUAAUACCGCAUAUUCUCUGAGGAGGAAAGCAGGGGACCUUCGGGCCUUGCGCUAGAAGAGCGGCCGAUGUCGGAUUAGCUAGUUGGUGAGGUAAAGGCUCACCAAGGCAACGAUCCGUAGCGGGUCUGAGAGGAUGAUCCGCCACACUGGGACUGAGACACGGCCCAG